UAAGGUCACGGCGAGACGAGCCGUUUAUCAUUACGAUAGGUGUCAAGUAGAAGUGCAGUGAUGCAUGCAGCUGAGGCAUCCUAACAGACCGAGAGAUUUGAAC
rnacentral:rRNA from 1 species